AAAGGAAUAGUCUAAUGUAAAGACAUUGAAAUUUGGUUUCAAUAAUAUAGGUUAGAUUCCUGUUUCCUUUU
rnacentral:tRNA from 1 species